CGCGACGGACGGCUGGGAUGGCGCGGCGGCAAAGACGGUUUGACAGAGAUGGCACGAUAGCAGCGUUAUCGCGUGGAGGCAGAGACAGAGAAAAGCUUCAGAAUCGCGUGGAGAAGAUGAACUGUUCUGUGUUUUGUUUUUUUAACCUACCAAAGGGAAUAUGCCGCGGUUAACAACUUACCCGCGGUAGUAAAGGGGUAUAUGUAGCGGUUCACAACAUAAUCGCGGCCUAUACGCCUUAAAAAAAAUAAUAAAAAUGACAUUUUUGAAAUUAUUUUUGAAUCUAUAUGUCGCGGUUCAGCGGGCAACCGCGGUAUAUACCCU
rnacentral:lncRNA from 1 species